rnacentral:rRNA from 1 species
AGCGAACGCUGGCGGCAGGCCUAACACAUGCAAGUCGAGCGCCGUAGCAAUACGGAGCGGCAGACGGGUGAGUAACGCGUGGGAACGUGCCCUUCGGUUCGGAAUAACCCAGGGAAACUUGGGCUAAUACCGGAUACGUCCGAAAGGAGAAAGGUUUAUCGCCGAAGGAUCGGCCCGCGUAAGAUUAGCUAGUUGGUGAGGUAACGGCUCACCAAGGCUAUGAUCUUUAGCUGGUCUGAGAGGACGAUCAGCCACACUGGGACUGAGACACGGCCCAGACUCCUACGGGAGGCAGCAGUGGGGAAUAUUGGACAAUGGGCGCAAGCCUGAUCCAGCCAUGCCGCGUGAGUGAUGAAGGCCUUAGGGUUGUAAAGCUCUUUUGGCAGGGACGAUAAUGACUGUACCUGCAGAAUAAGCCCCGGCCAACUUCGUGCCAGCCGCCGCUGUAACAC